rnacentral:misc_RNA from 1 species
ACUGGAGUUUCUCUCUCUGAAUUCUGCUUUUGAUUCGAAUUCUCCGCAGCCUAAACCCUAACAGUUCUCUGUCUAUCGAAUCCCCGAUCUCAAACUCGUCUAUUUCACUGCUACUUUAGCCCAUGCAAUGGUGGUCUGCAAAUGUAAGAAGGCAACUAAAUUAUACUGUUUCGUGCACAAAAUCGCUGUUUGUGGAGAAUGCAUAUGCUUUCCGGAGCAUCAAAUAUGCGUGAUCCGCGCCUAUUCCGAGUGGGUCAUAGAUGGAGAGUAUGACUGGCCUCCUAAAUGUUGCUAUUGUAAGUCUGAGCUUGAAGAAGGAACUGAUGCUGGGAUAACUCGGUUGGGUUGCUUGCAUACAAUACAUACAAGCUGCUUGGUUUCACAUCUAAAAUCUUUUCCGCCACACACUGCUCCAGCUGGCUAUGUGUGUCCUAUUCCUGAAUGUUCAACAUCGAUAUGGCCUCCUAAAAGUGUUAAAGAAUCAGGAUCACGCUUCCAUACAAAGUUGAAAGAAGCUAUUAUGCAGACUGGCCUGGAG